rnacentral:miRNA from 1 species
AUCAGGAGGUACUGUAAAAUGGUUUAUAUAUAUAUAUAUGUGUAUGUGUGUGUGUGUGUGUGUGUGUGUGUGUGUAUACACACACACACACACAGUAUAUAUACUGUAUAUAAA